GAGUAUCACUUUAAAUUUGUUUCAGAUCUUAAGCUGAGAGAUGUGGUACUUGUAGCAACAUAGCACAAAUGGACUAAGUUGUUAGAAAAGAUGUCUCAGAAUCAAUGUCAUGGGUGUAUAAAAUUGGAAGAGCACCUAAAGUCAGCUAAAGAGAUGAAGAAGCACAAAAAAGAAGCUGAAACACUCCUUCGAUAUUUGAGAGAAUCAAGACAAGAAGCAUCGUCUUCAAGUUUUUAAGGUAGAGUUAUUACUACUAAUACUUAGGGAGGUAAUUAAUUAUACAAUGUAAUUGGUUAUUAUAUAUAUAUAUAGUGUUUUUGCUUGUUUGUACAGUGUGUCCAACAUAGUUUGAACGAUGUCUAUUGAAUUUAGAAGCAGCUUAGCGAGUUAUAAUAGACUGACACCUUAGAUGCAUGGAUUUUAGCUAGGUUUGGGAUUUUGCUUUCCCUUGUUCAAUUUGUUAUGUUUCCCUGGAGCUACCUGGUUGUGUUUGGAUUUUUUUUUUUUUUAAAUUAGGUUGUUAAAUUUUCUUUGUUUUUAAUGACCCUUGUUUUGUGAAAAGGGUUGCUGAUUGUAUCAUUGUAUGUUAAUUUUCCUGCUUUUAGUGGAAGUACGGUCCUUUUACUACACUAUUACCUCUGGAAUGUUUAGUGAUUAGUGUUCAUAGUCUCCUAUGGUCUAAACUCUAAACAGAGCUUGAGUUUCUUAUAUUGGAUGUUGCUGAAUGUAUUGCCUAAUUUAUAGGCUAUUAGAUGAACUCUAUCUGCUUAACACUUUGGAUGUAACUCUCGACUGAAGCUGGUAUUCGAGAGAAUCUUCUGUAAGGUAUGUUUAGUUAUAGGGUAUAUAUAAAGUUGUAUAUAUAAUAUGGAGUUGAUUUGCACUGAUUGCUUGUUUGAGAACCAACUGGAUGAUGAUCUUGAACCAGAAGAAGCAGUGGCAUUAAUAGUUGUGCAGACCCAAAAGUCAUUGGUGCAUCCCAAACAAUAGAACCACAAGGCCAAAAAAUCCGCAAGCCCAAUAAGAAGAACAAUAUGUACAUAGAGUUGCUAAAAAGGACCAAGCCCACAAGCCUCAAACAAAAACUUCAUCAGCUGCAAUGUUAAAGUUCAGAAAGGAAAAUGGAGUUCACUUCUAAAUCUAUCAUCCAAGAAGAAAGAGAAAAAAAAAAAAAAGUCAAAUCACAUUGGAGCCAUGAAUUAAAUCUAGGGCAGAUCAAGCGAAGAAAAAGGUAAAAGCUUUCCAUAAACAUGCAAAUCAAUUACUUGCUUAUUCCUCCCUCCUUCUGCACAUACACUUUUUAGCUUUAAUCAAUAUUAUUGCAUAUUCAGUUUUCUGUAUUAUCUUUCUGUGUUUUAGCUUUAAUAAAAAAAGGCAUAUAAGUGAGGUAUUGAGAAAAAAAAGCUAAAAAGAGAAAAGGCAAAGAGAGAACACUUGGAGAGAAAAAUCAAAAUUUAUUUCUAAUAUCUUUUGAUUGUUUUUCUGUCUUGUUUAUCAUAUUUUCUAAGUUUGGUGAGCACUUUGUGUCUUGUGAAUCUAGGGAGGGAACCUAACCAAGUUAAGCUUGGGUUGAAGCUUAAUUUGUCCCUUGAUAGGAUUACGUUGAAUUCUUGAGAAUCCAUGUUUGUAACACUUGAAAAGAUAGUGAAAAUUCUGUUACUGUUGUGGUGGAGACAGUUUCAUUGCACAAAAUAGCUGAAUCAGGAUACCUGGUUGUGCAUCUUCUCUUCUAAGCUCUGUUUCAGUAUUUAUUUUUUUUUGAGACAAAAUAAAAUUGUUUCCUGCACAAUCCAUCAUGCAGUUAAAACAGAAGCUCAGUUUCAGUUUGUGUUUUGAGAAGCUAUUAGUCAACAUUAAAAGAAGACCAUGCCUAUAUUGCAAUUAUUCAUUUCUUCUCAUUUUUUUGUGUUGAUGGGCCAUUCAUUCCAUUCAUUGCUUUUGAAGCUGAGAAUAAACAAAUCAAAAUGACAAGGAUUAUAAAAGGUUCACACAACUAAUUAAGUGAUGGGCCUAAACAUUGCUUGAAUGCUGGUUAAGUUAUAUAUAAAAAAAACAUUGAGACUUAGACUAAAAAACCCACAUCCAUGAAAGGAUGAAUACCAUCGUUGGAUCCGAGUCAUUCAUCGCCGCUGCUCUUCGGAGAGAUAUAGAUGGUUGUUCCGGCCUCGCCGGCUUGCACCCCUGUUCGCUGCGCGUCUUCCAUUUGCCUGCAACUCUGGAGGAAAACGCGUCCGUCAUCGCUGGCGCGGAGGAGGGCCAUGGUUUUGCUGAUGAAUCGAAGACCUCACGCUCGGAGAUCUACCUUGCUGCCGGAGAAGUACGGCGAACCAGAGCGGGGACCAGUACAAUCAAUUUUGUGAAAAACAAUACCAAACAAAAGCAAAGAUUUGUUUUUGGUAUACAAUAAAAGCGAAGUUUAUUCACAAAAAUUGUCAUUUAAAAAAUAACAGGCCCAUUAUAUAUUUAGAUCCACAAGUUUAGAUGUUAAUCACCAAAAAAAUUUUCAA